AUAGCAGAGCGGGAAGAAGGGAGACACGAGUUAUCACGACUGAGUCGAUGUUGAGUGCCUAGGAGGCUCAGAGUUGUUAUGUUCAUGGUGAACGGCUAAUUUCCUGAUGUAAAGAAUUUUUGUGACCUACCGAGAGAGGAACUGCUGUUGCCUGUCAGCACAAUGGAAUUGCCUGCCUGCGCCCAAUCUGGAGAUCAAGAGAGUGACGAGUAGAGAUUGUCCUCACCAGUCCCACAGAUGACAAGCCUGGACUGUGGCUGUUAUGGGAACAGAUUCCUUUCCAAAACUUCAUUUCUAUUUACCCAUUAGUGUUUGUUUAAUUCCUGCUGGAGGUGGAUCUGAUCCAGCCUGAAGACUGAAAACACCAUCACUGUAUCCUUUCAAAAUUCCUUACUCUGGCACUCAGCUAUGCUUUUUUCAUUUUAAUAUACUUUAUUUAUUCCUCAGUGAUGCCAUUCCCCCUGGUGGGGACUCGUGGUCAGCAUUGUCUGUAUUGGCUGCAUUGUCACUUGGGCAGGUGGAAAAGGAAGAGGAAAUUAUGUUGCAAAAUAACUCACAAAAGUGGGUUUAAUAUUUAAUCUCUAACUGGACGCACAGAUUAAAGUAAUCAUUCACUGACUGUCAGAUCUCUUUGAAAGCAGAUGGGUUGCAUUCAGCAUCAAUUCUUCUCUAUAGAAUGUGACGAGUGAUCUUGUCACACACUAUACUGUAUGUUACACUCAAAUAAAAUAAUCUUGGUUGCAGCCUCUUACAGACAAUACAAGUUCACUUUUAAGGCAAGUCAGAUUGUGUGAUCAGUCAUUCAUCUCAUGCUUUGAAAGUAGAGUAUAAACCAUGUCUCAAAAACUUCCUUUCUUUUAAAAACUUUUCAAAAAAAUGCUUGUCUUUGAUCAUAAGAACCAAAGUUUUUCACAGUGUGAUCCUGGACCACCACUCAGGACUGACGACCAAAGAUGUCAUUAUGUUUUCUUAGUUUCUGGGACAAGAAUUUCUCCUGUGGAGCAGCUCAAGAAUCCAGCCCUCCUAGAAAUUCUCCUAGAAAGCACAUUUACAUACUACUCAUGUUUUGCCACAUUUUU